UACGGAGGGGGGCAAGCGUUGUUCGGAAUUACUGGGCGUAAAGGGCGCGCAGGCGGCUGCUCAAGUCAGGCGUGAAAGGCCUGGGCUCAACCCGGGAAUUGCGCUUGAGACUGGGCUGGCUUGAGUGCGGGAGAGGAUGGUGGAAUUCCCAGUGUAGAGGUGAAAUUCGUAGAUAUCUGGAGGAACACCGGUGGCGAAGGCGACAUCCUGGACCGGUAUUGACGCUGAGGCGCGAAAGCCAGGGGAGCAAACGGG
rnacentral:rRNA from 1 species